rnacentral:rRNA from 1 species
UACGAAGGGUGCAAGCGUUGCUCGGAAUUAUUGGGCGUAAAGGGCUGGUAGGCGGUCUUGUUUGUCUAAGGUGAAAUCCCUUGGCUUAACUGUGGAAGUGCCUUAGAAACGGCAAGACUAGAGUCCUAGAGGGGUUUGUGGAAUUCCCGGUGUAGCGGUGAAAUGCGUAGAGAUCGGGAGGAACACCAGCGGCGAAGGCGGCAAACUGGAUAGGCACUGACGCUCAACAACGAAAGCGUGGGGAGCAAACAGG